UGUGUGUGGUGUAUGGAGUGGUGUGGAGAUCUAUGCAUCUAGUUUAUUGCUAAUCUUUAUGCCACAUCCUUUAGGGAGAGGAAGCAAAAACCAUUCCUGGUGAAUCUGUCACAGAAGAACAGUUUACUGAUGAAGAAGGCAACCUCAUCACCAGAAAAGUAAUCACCAACGGGAUUUCAUGCUUCUCUUGGGUUUAGAUUUUCUAUUUGUUUGCUAUAGUGUCAGCUCUUGAAACAGAAGAGAGAAAAAGCUCUCCUUUUCACUAUUGCUUCCUAUACAGAUCACUCGGAAAGUACUAAGACGAAUUGUUAUCCCACAAGAGAGAAAACAUGAUGACGUGGUAAUGGAGAGGAACUGUCAAAAAGAAAGCAGAGGAUAAAGGCUUUGUGAAUGCUUUAGAACAUGCUUCUAACAGCCUGGCAUCUGCAGUGUGGCAGCUUGAAGCAUUUGCUGCUUUUGACAUCUUGUGUAUUUGAUCAGGGUCAAAGAAAAAGACUUUCCUUCCUAACAUUCUUUAACACCAUAUACUUUUACUAUCUUUAGAGUUUUCACAGAGAUCAUUUCAUUUAUGGAGGAUGGAAUGUGCCAGUUCAAGCAUGGGAGAGAAAAUUUAAAAACCCUCCACCACAACCAAAUCCCUCGGCCAUCCCCGACCCUAGCCCUCCCGGCCCAGCACUCUACCGGCAGCCAAGGACCUGGAGAGAGAGCACUUGUUUCCAGCAGAUGCACAAGGUUUAAUUAAAAGUCAGAGUGAUAAAAGCUUGUCAUAAGAUCCUUACACUGAAUCUCUUUCCAGUAUAUUCUACAGGGGAAUACAAAUCCCCCUCUCCCCCAUCUUAGCCUGAAGAGGAUUUUCCUCUCUGGGUUAACAACAGCCCAUCUCCCGUGUACCAGUUAAAGAACCAAAGUCAUCACCGAGCAGCGUAACUCAGCAAAUGAAUCUCUAACUCCCGGAGAAAACAUCUCUGGUUAUUUUUCAUUUCUUUCCUUUCUCAGACCUUACCCUUUUCAUAAAAAUAAAAAAAAAAGAAACUUCAAUACCUGUGUUUACAUAAGAAAAAACUAAACUGAAAAUUUCUGAGGAGUAAUUCAGAAAAUUGGAAGGACUACUGCAUUUUCUGUUUUAAGUAGGUUAAAAGCUGAGCAUUUGUGCAAACCACUUUGCUCACAGAGAAGUGUGUCCUUGAUGCUCAGUGAAGAGAGGUCUUGUUUUAUGGAAAAAGGAUGCCUACUUUGUCAGGAGUAAGAGGAAGGGCGU
rnacentral:lncRNA from 1 species